CCAGCGAGGACUCCCUUCCCCCCAGCCCCCCCCCCCCAAGCCCCGUCCUCAUAGGGGAGGCGGGGAGCCGGGGAAGGGCCGCCCUCACCUGUGAGCACCCCGGCCGUCAGGUACAGCUCCAGGAGGCGCGUGGCGAAGGAUGCCAGGACCAUGCCCGCCGAGGCCAGCAGCCCCCCCACCAGCAUCACCGGGCGACAGCCGAAGCGGGUCACGAGGAUGCUGGAGACUGGACCUGUGGGCGGAGCACCGUCACCGCUCCGGCCGGACUAAGCUCUCUCCCUGGACACUCCAGCCCCAGACGGGGCUCCAAGGGAUAAGGGCACCCCCUGUUCAGAGACGGCAGCGUCUGGCCAAGGUCACACAGCUUGGCUGGGAGGCGCCCUGCGGGGCCGCAAGGCAGGGACCUGUCCUGGUCCAGAGGCCCCACCCCCCGCCCCUCCAGAGAACGGGGACCCAAAGCAGAAGGAGCAGACCCCUCCCUUUUUAUCUGCGCAGCUGGAAUCGUCCCUUACUCCCACCCCCCAGGCGCUGGGCUGGGAUUAACACCAGCAGGUCCUCCACCCCCCAGGGGGCCAGGGAACCGGGAGCGGGGAGGGGCGAUUUUAUUUAGAUCCGUUCCCCCACCUGUAAGAGAAGCGGGUGUAGGUCUUUGGCGGGAAAGGAGGGCCCUGCAGGGUGGCCAAACUUGCCGGUCAGCCCCUGCCCUCUCCUCCCCUCUCUGGGGCCAGCGUCUCCACAGGGGGAAAGUGGUUUCCCUGGGAUGCCCAGCGGGUCGGGGAUGCCGCCCUCAGCCCUGGGCCUGGGGGGAGGGGCCUGCCAGGGGCCUGACCCGUGCCGUAGAGCAUGGCGAGCAUGAUGGAGGACACCCAGGCCGUGUCGCUGUAGCCCGCGCCGAAGUCGCGCAUCAGCGCGCGGAAGAAGACGCUCACGGCCUUGGGGAAGCCGUAGGCGAACCCGGUGACCACGAAGCAGGCGCCCAGCACGGCCCAGCCCCAGCCCCCGUCUGGGGGUCCCUCGCCCCGCCGCGGGCCGCCAGCGCCCAUCGCUGCUGCCUCUGCUGGAGGAAGGGGACAAGAGGGGGCAGGGAAGGUCUGUAGCCCCGGCAAGGAAGGGGGAUGGAGACCCACCGUGGGGAAACUGAGGCACGGGGCUACCCAGGUGAGCCCUGUUCCGGGAAUGAGCCAGGAGGGAAGACCGAGGUAGCGCCUCACCCCAAACUUGCCCUCCUCCAAAGGGCUUAUAAAAGGUGAGAGGAGGAUAAUAGAAUCGUUCCCACCUGGGUCAGGACUUCAGGAAGACGGGCUCGGAGGGCACUCCUUCCUAGGGACCUAGUGGUGGCCGGAGAGGGGGUGCUGGUGAGUGGGAGAGCUGGGCGGCCAGUGUGUGUGCCCCAGCUGCGGGGACCGCCAGGGUUCCCAGGGUGCAAGAACUCACGGGGGGUGGGGGGGCGUGCAGAGAAGGGCAGCCAAGUGCCAGCUGCAAAAUGGCUGGGUGUAUUUGGCUCCUUGGCCAAGUGUUCUUCAUUUUUCUCAAUGACCAGAAAUGACUAUUGUCAUCAGAAUAUUAUGGAAAAAAAAUAAAACAAAACAAAAAACCCCAGACAUUUUGGAGUAACAUUAGCCUCGUUUCAGGAGCCAAAGAAGCUGAGCUCCAGUUCAUCCCAGCUUAGCCGUGGAUCCGCUCUGUGACUCAGGCGGAUCCUCCUGCCUCGCUGAGCCUCAGUCUUGCCACCUCUCCCCAAACCCUCCACAAGCAGAAAAGAGCUCUGAAGUCUCUCACACCCGUGGAGCUCCAGCCAGGGGUGCACGCAGCAGCCUCCCGUGGCCCCCGGAACAGCCCAGGAAGGCAGAGGACGAGACCAGAUGCCCCUGCAGUGCCAGGCUUCUGGGAAAUAAGGCCGAGGUGUUCUGAAGCCCAGAAUUCUGUGGAUCGCAGCCUUGAGAAGCCUCUGGACCCAAGUACCAUCUCCCAGGCUGCAGAUGCCCUCCCUGCACCCCACACCUCACCCCAGUCCUGCCCCGCCAGCUCCAGCCCCGGCUCUGACCCAGGAUCCUGGUCUUGCCUCUCCCAGGGGGUGGGGAGGUAGAGAGCACAGGCCUUUUCCAGUGCUCCCAGCAGGACAACGGGGGCUCCAGUCCCUGAGAGGAAUGCUUUCCCCUUUCCCUCUGCCCCAGACUCAGAAAUCCAUCCUACACCUCCCCGCAGAUGGACAAACUGAGGCUGCGGCGGGGAAGACCCCCUGCCAGCCAGCCAGUGGCAAAGCAGGAGGGUUACCUGGCCUCCAGUCUCCCUGCCCACUGGGUGAGGCCGGGGCUGGGGACAGGCGGUGCAGCGGGGUGGAGCUCACCUUGACGUCACUGGCCACCCCCGUGCUGCCCAUGCUGCUUCG